rnacentral:rRNA from 1 species
UACGAAGGGUGCAAGCGUUACUCGGAAUUACUGGGCGUAAAGCGUGCGUAGGUGGUUGUUUAAGUCUGUUGUGAAAUCUCCCGGCUUAACUGGGAGGGUGCAGCGGAAACUAGAAUGCUAGAGGGUGGGAGAGGUAAGCGGAAUUCCUGGUGUAGCGGUGAAAUGCGUAGAUAUCAGGAGGAACACCUGUGGUGUAGACAGCUUACUGGACCACUUCUGACGCUGAGACACGAAAGCGUGGGUAGCAAACAGG